GGGUGGUCUGGUUGUGACAUCUGUCACCCCAUUGAUCACUAAGGUUGGAUUCAGCUAAUCUGACUGGAAAAGUGGUGUCUCUUAGUACUCCAUCAGCUUUUCUCCCAGAGUGACAUGCUUGGGCAGAGGAUGACCUUCCCGGAGAGCCUUUCUUGGCUCAAGCAUCUGGGUAUGAGUAGCUGUGCCUUUCUGCUAGAACCUUCAGGCAAACUCUCAAGAUAAUUCUUGUUGGAUAUUUUUCAGAGUGUUUUAGUUUUGCUCUUUCAUGUUUUAGAAAUCUGUUAACCAU
rfam:Dipodomys ordii contig_14956, whole genome shotgun sequence.